rnacentral:rRNA from 1 species
AGUGAACGCUGGCGGUAGGCCUAACACAUGCAAGUCGAACGGCAGCUCAGUAAGAGCUUGCUCUUACGGGUGGCGAGUGGCGGACGGGUGAGGAAUACAUCGGAAUCUACUUUUUCGUGGGGGAUAACGUAGGGAAACUUACGCUAAUACCGCAUACGACCUACGGGUGAAAGCAGGGGAUCUUCGGACCUUGCGCGAUUGAAUGAGCCGAUGUCGGAUUAGCUAGUUGGUGGGGUAAAGGCCCACCAAGGCGACGAUCCGUAGCUGGUCUGAGAGGAUGAUCAGCCACACUGGAGCUGAGACACGGUCCAGACUCCUACGGGAGGCAGCAGUGGGGAAUAUUGGACAAUGGGCGCAAGCCUGAUCCAGCCAUACCGCGUGGGUGAAGAAGGCCUUCGGGUUGUAAAGCCCUUUUGUUGGGAAAGAAAAGCAGCAGGUUAAUACCCCGCUGUUCUGACGGUACCCAAAGAAUAAGCACCGGCUAACUUCGUG